GAUGAACGCUAGCGGCAGGCCUAACACAUGCAAGUCGAGGGAGAGGUUACCUUCGGGUAACCAAAACCGGCGCACGGGUGCGUAACGCGUAUACAAUCUGCCUUUCACAUAGGGAUAGCCCGAAGAAAUUUGGAUUAAUACCUAAUGGUAUAUAAGAGCGGCAUCGUUUUUAUAUUAAAGCUACGGUGGUGAAAGAUGAGUAUGCGUUCUAUUAGCUAGUUGGAGAGGUAACGGCUCCCCAAGGCGACGAUAGAUAGGGGUUCUGAGAGGGAUGUCCCCCACACUGGUACUGAGAUACGGACCAGACUCCUACGGGAGGCAGCAGUGAGGAAUAUUGGACAAUGGUCGGAAGACUGAUCCAGCCAUGCCGCGUGCAGGAUGAAGGUCCUAUGGAUUGUAAACUGCUUUUGUAAGGGAAGAAUAAGGAGUACGUGUACUUUGAUGACGGUACCUUACGAAUAAGCAUCGGCUAACUCCGUGCCAGCAGCCGCGGUAAUACGGAGGAUGCGAGCGUUAUCCGGAAUCAUUGGGUUUAAAGGGUCCGUAGGCGGGCUGAUAAGUCAGAGGUGAAAGCGCUUAGCUCAACUAAGCAACUGCCUUUGAAACUGUCAGUCUUGAAUGAUUGUGAAGUAGUUGGAAUGUGUAGUGUAGCGGUGAAAUGCUUAGAUAUUACACAGAACACCGAUAGCGAAGGCAUAUUACUAACAAUUUAUUGACGCUGAUGGACGAAAGCGUGGGGAGCGAACAGG
rnacentral:rRNA from 1 species